AGCAGCCGCGGUAAUUCCAGCUCCAAUAGCGUAUAUUAAAGUUGUUGCAGUUAAAAAGCUCGUAGUUGAAUUUCGGGGUUCUACCGUUGGUCGGGCAAUAGUCUGUACUGGCGUGUGGAAUUUCUACCUUCUGGGGAACCAUCAUGUUAUUAAUUUAGCGUGGUGGGAAACCAGGACCUUUACCUUGAAAAAAUUAGAGUGUUCAAAGCAGGCUUACGUCUGAAUACAUUAGCAUGGAAUAAUAAAAUAGGACGGUGGUCCUGUUUUGUUGGUUUCUGAAUCACCGUAAUGAUUAAUAGGGAUAGUUGGGGGCAUUAGUAUUCAAUUGUCAGAGGUGAAAUUCUUGGAUUUAUUGAAGACUAACUUCUGCGAAAGCAUUUGCCAAGGAUGUUUUCAUUAAUCAAGAACGAAAGUUAGGGGAUCGAAGACGAUCAGAUACCGUCGUAGUCUUAACCAUAAACUAUGCCGACUAGGGAUCGGACGAUGUUAAUUUUUCUUGACUCGUUUGGCGCCUUUACGG
rnacentral:rRNA from 1 species